AAUUUCAUCCCGCAUAUCUUAACGCUGAGGUCAACAUCAUCAAUGGCGGUAUGGAAUUUUGAUUCCACGGUUGUCUGAGCAACACCUGCAAGGUCACCUCCACAAAAUACACCUGGUACCGAUGUCAUCAUUGUAGUCUCGUCCACUUCCGUAUUUCUAGAUUUGAAGAUUAAAGUUUAAGAAGUGUAUUUUACAAACGCGGUGAACGAUUACCUCUUCUGGAACUG
rnacentral:lncRNA from 1 species